rnacentral:rRNA from 1 species
UACGUAGGGUGCGAGCGUUGUCCGGAAUUAUUGGGCGUAAAGAGCUCGUAGGCGGUUUGUUGCGUCGGCUGUGAAAUCCCGAGGCUCAACCUCGGGUCUGCAGUCGAUACGAGCAAACUAGAGUGUUGCAGGGGAGACUGGAAUUUACGGUGUAGCGGUGAAAUGCGUAGAUAUCGUAAGGAAGACCAGUGGCGAAGGCGGGUCUCUGGACAGUUCCUGACGCUGAGGCACGAAGGUCAGGGGAGCAAACGGG